AGCGAACGCUGGCGGCAGGCUUAACACAUGCAAGUCGAGCGGGCGUAGCAAUACGUCAGCGGCAGACGGGUGAGUAACGCGUGGGAACGUACCUUUUGGUUCGGAACAACACAGGGAAACUUGUGCUAAUACCGGAUAAGCCCUUACGGGGAAAGAUUUAUCGCCGAAAGAUCGGCCCGCGUCUGAUUAGCUAGUUGGUGAGGUAACGGCUCACCAAGGCGACGAUCAGUAGCUGGUCUGAGAGGAUGAUCAGCCACAUUGGGACUGAGACACGGCCCAAACUCCUACGGGAGGCAGCAGAGGGGAAUAUUGGACAAUGGGGGCAACCCUGAUCCAGCCAUGCCGCGUGAGUGAUGAAGGCCGUAGGGUUGUAAAGCUCUUUUGUGCGGGAAGAUAAUGACGGUACCGCAAGAAUAAGCCCCGGCUAACUUCGUG
rnacentral:rRNA from 1 species